rnacentral:rRNA from 1 species
GUAAACGCUGGCGGCGUGCUUAACACAUGCAAGUCGAGCGAGAAAGUUCCUUCGGGAAUGAGUACAGCGGCAGACGGGUGAGUAACGCGUGAGAAUCUGCCCUUUAGUGAGGAAUACCUCCGAGAAAUCGGAGUUAAUACUGCAUACGUCCCUUCGGGGAGAAAGCUGGCCUCUUUGCUGGCGCUAAAGGAUGAGCUUACGUACUAUUAGCUAGUUGGUGGGGUAAAGGCCUACCAAGGCGAUGAUGGUUAGCCGGCCUGAGAGGGUGUACGGCCACACUGGAACUUAGACACGGUCCAGACUCCUACGGGAGGCAGCAGUGGGGAAUAUUGCGCAAUGGGCGAAAGCCUGACGCAGCGACGCCGCGUGAAGGAUGAAGGUCUUCGGAUUGUAAACUUCUGUUAAGUGGGAAGAAAUGUUCGUCUCUAAUACAGACGGAAGAUGACGGUACCAUUAGAGAAAGCACCGGCUAAACUCGU